AACGAACGCUGGCGGCAUGCCUAACACAUGCAAGUCGAACGAGACCUUCGGGUCUAGUGGCGCACGGGUGCGUAACGCGUGGGAACCUGCCCUUAGGUUCGGAAUAACUCCCCGAAAGGGGUGCUAAUACCGGAUAAUGUCUUCGGACCAAAGAUUUAUCGCCUUUGGAUGGGCUCGCGUUGGAUUAGCUAGUUGUUAGGGUAAAAGCCUACCAAGGCGAGGAUCCAUAGCUGGGAUGAGAGGAUGGUCAGCGACACUGGGGGGGAGACACGGCCCGGACUACUACGGGAGGGAGGAGUGGGGGAUAUUGGAAAAUGGGGGGAAGGCUGAACCAGCACUGACGGGUGAGUGAUGAAGGUCGUAGGGUUGUAAAGCUAGUUUACCCGGGAUGAUAAUGACAGUACCGGGAGAAUAAGCACCGGCUAACUCCGUG
rnacentral:rRNA from 1 species